AGAAAAUAUCUCACUAUUUGCAUACUUCAUCUUCAGAAACCACAAAUACUUCACAGUUGUUUUAAAGAGAUAUAUUUGCAAGAAUAGGAGUAGUUAGUCAGAGACCAAAAUUCAAAUACACAAUGGAUUUUUGGGUGCAGGUCUUCAACUUCCUGCUAAUCAGUAUCACAGUUAUCAUGUCCAGUGGAGAAAUUGUACUCACCCAGUCUCCAGCAAUCAUGGCUGCAUCUCUGGGGGAGAAGGUCACCAUCACCUGCAGUGCCAGCUCAAGUGUAAGUUACAUGUACUGGUACCAGCAGAAGUCAGGAUCCUCCCCUAAACCCUGGAUUUAUAGGACAUCCAACCUCAUUUCUGGAGUCCCAGAUCGCUUCAGUGGCAGUGGGUCUGGGACCUCUUACUCUCUCACAAUUAGCACCAUGGAGGCUGAAGAUGCUGCCACUUAUUACUGCCAGCAGUGGACUAGUUCCCCACCCACACAGUGA